GACGAACGCUGGCGGCGUGCUUAACACAUGCAAGUCGAACGCUGAAGCUCAGCUUUUGUUGGGUGGAUGAGUGGCGAACGGGUGAGUAACACGUGAGUAACCUGCCCCCUUCUUUGGGAUAACGCCCGGAAACGGGUGCUAAUACUGGAUAUUCACUGGUCUUCGCAUGGGGGUUGGUGGAAAGGGUUUUUCUGGUGGGGGAUGGGCUCGCGGCCUAUCAGCUUGUUGGUGGGGUGAUGGCCUACCAAGGCUUUGACGGGUAGCCGGCCUGAGAGGGUGAGAGGUCGCACUGGCACAGAGAGACGGAGCAGCCGCCUAGGGGAGGCAGCAGUGGGGAAGUGUGGACAAUUGGCGAAAGCCUGAAAGAGUCAUGCCGCGUGGGUGAGGGAGGGCUUGGGGUCGUAAGGCUCUGUUGUUCGGUAAGAAAAGCUGCAGGCGCAACAAUGGUUGUGGUGAGGGUACCGAAUGAAGAAGCACCGGCUAACUACGUG
rnacentral:rRNA from 1 species